CCUCGGGAGGCAGCAGUGAGGAAUAUUGGUCAAUGGGCGGGAGCCUGAACCAGCCAAGUCGCGUGAGGGAAGACGGUCCUAUGGAUUGUAAACCUCUUUAGGCGGGGAGCAAUGCCGGGCACGCGUGCCCGGAGGGAGAGUACCCGCAGAAUAAGCAUCGGCUAACUCCGUGCCAGCAGCCGCGGUAAUACGGAGGAUGCGAGCGUUAUCCGGAUUUAUUGGGUUUAAAGGGUGCGUAGGCGGAUUUUUAAGUCAGCGGUAAAAUGUCCGGGCUCAACCCGGGCCGGCCGUUGAAACUGGGGAUCUUGAGUGGGCGAGAAGUAUGCGGAAUGCGUGGUGUAGCGGUGAAAUGCUUAGAUAUCACGAAGAACCCCGAUUGCGAAGGCAGCCUGCCGCAGCGUUACUGACGCUGAAGCUCGAAAGCGCGGGUAUCGAACAGGAUUAGAUACCCCUGUAGUC
rnacentral:rRNA from 1 species